CUACGGCCAUAUAAUAUUUAAAACACCGGUUUUCGUACAACAACCGAAGUUAAGCACCGUCGAGUCUGGUCAGUAGCUAGAUGAGUGACCGAUUAGGAAUACUAAGUGCUGUAA